rnacentral:rRNA from 1 species
AUUAAGCCAUGCAUGUCUCAGUACAUGCCGUAUUAAGGUGAAACCGCGAAUGGCUCAUUAAAUCAGUUAUGGUUCCUUAGAUCGUACACACAUUUACUUGGAUAACUGUGGUAAUUCUAGAGCUAAUACAUGCAAACCAGAGUUCCGACCAGAGAUGGAAGGAACGCUUUUAUUAGAUCAAAACCAAUCGGUGGCGGGUUAACGCCCGUCCAUCGUUUACUUUGGUGACUCUGAAUAACUUUGUGCUGAUCGCAUGGUCUUGUACCGGCGACGAAUCUUUCAAAUGUCUGCCUUAUCAACUGUCGAUGGUAGGUUCUGCGCCUACCAUGGUUGUAACGGGUAACGGGGAAUCAGGGUUCGAUUCCGGAGAGGGAGCCUGAGAAACGGCUACCACAUCCAAGGAAGGCAGCAGGCGCGCAAAUUACCCACUCCCGGCACGGGGAGGUAGUGACGAAAAAUAACGAUACGGGACUCAUCCGAGGCCCCGUAAUCGGAAUGAGUACACUUUAAAUCCUUUAACGAGGAUCCAUUGGAGGGCAAGUCUGGUGCCAGCAGCCGCGGUAAUUCCAGCUCCAAUAGCGUAUAUUAAAGUUGUUGCGGUUAAAAAGCUCGUAGUUGAAUCUGUGUGCCACGCUGUCGGUUCACCGCUCGCGGUGUUUAACUGGCAUGAUUGUGGGACGUCCUACCGGUGGAUUUAGCUGUGUGCAAAUAUGGCGAUCCAACUAAUAUCCCAUCGCGGUGCUCUUCAUUGAGUGCCGAGGUGGGCCGGUACGUUUACUUUGAACAAAUUAGAGUGCUUAAAGCAGGCUUAUUUUGCCUGAAUAUUGUGUGCAUGGAAUAAUGGAAUAGGACCUCGGUUCUAUUUUGUUGGUUUUCGGAACCCCGAGGUAAUGAUUAAUAGGGACAGAUGGGGGCAUUCGUAUUGCGACGUUAGAGGUGAAAUUCUUGGAUCGUCGCAAGACGAACAGAAGCGAAAGCAUUUGCCAAAAAUGUUUUCAUUAAUCAAGAACGAAAGUUAGAGGUUCGAAGGCGAUCAGAUACCGCCCUAGUUCUAACCAUAAACGAUGCCAGCUAGCGAUCCGCCGAAGUUCCUCCGAUGACUCGGCGGGCAGCUUCCGGGAAACCAAAGCUUUUGGGUUCCGGGGGAAGUAUGGUUGCAAAGCUGAAACUUAAAGGAAUUGACGGAAGGGCACCACCAGGAGUGGAGCCUGCGGCUUAAUUUGACUCAACACGGGAAACCUCACCAGGCCCGGACACUGGAAGGAUUGACAGAUUGAUAGCUCUUUCUUGAUUCGGUGGGUGGUGGUGCAUGGCCGUUCUUAGUUGGUGGAG